GACAACUUUGACAGCAUUCAAAAAUUCAGGCUCUUGCGCGAUUCCGAAGGCGUCCAACAUGGGUAUUUGCUUCAAAUUGAUCAAUUAUGGUCCCAAAACAUGUUCUCUUGAGUUCUUGCUUGUUUUCCUCCACUAGAAUUGCUUCCUAAACCUUUAUUUCACACACUCAAACAUAGAGAUUAGAGGUAAAAACAAGCAUAUACUAAAUAAACACAAGAAAACUAGAAAACACACUAAAUGUGAGGAUAAAACAAAGUAAAAGCUAUGAAGUAGUUGAUUUUGCCACUAAAAUGCUGCUUAAAUAAUGGUAAGAAUUAGCAUUAUCAAACC
rnacentral:lncRNA from 1 species